AUGGCAUCUGACCUCUGCAUCUUUCAGGAUGGAAGGGCAAGUUUAAUUCGCUGCUUUAAGUCAGGUCUCGAAAAGACCAUGGGAGCCCUCUCACCCUCCAGCCGUUUCCUCCAGCACCCCCUCCUCACAAUCACUCUUUUUGUUCCUUUCCGGGUUCCGCUUUUAUUUCCCCUCUGGAUGAGUGCAUUUUUUUCUGCUCUUUUCAUUCCAGCCACCCAGAUAUGGCUGUGUGUAGGGGCGACACACGUGCACGCCGAGUUAAGUCAGCAUGGACGGGUGCCAGGUGCCAGGCUCCACCACCAACAAAUCACACCCUCUCCACAGCCCCACUACAGCCCUUCUGAGACUUGUGUCUAUAAAUUGUGCCAUGACAAGUCGCCUGGAAACUUCCUUUGCUGCUGGCAGCUCCACACCCAUGCAUUUCCUUUUUCCUGUAAAAAAAAUCCAUUCCCAGCUCCAACUCAAGACAGAAGGAAAUUACCUCAUCCUCAUUCUGUGCAUUCCAGAGAAUUAGCUCACCCGCAUUGGGAGACUGUCAAUCAAGUCUCCCCUCUCUCCCCAGCCGGGCGGUGGGCUUAUUAUCCAAGCUGGGCCGACUGGAUUCUCCCUUUUAGGUGUUGAAUCUGGAUCAGCAUCAGAAGUGCAGAGAUGUGUUAGAGCUGACACAUGCCAACAGGCUCCCUCACCCGACAGGCAUGGUGCCUGCCUCGAAGACCCCCAGGGACACCCCAGUUCCUGUUCAUUCUAGCCUGGGUGGACUGAGCAAGACUGAAGUUAAUGUUUGCUGUGAGCCUGGUGCUAAAUUAGAAGGAAAUUGAGUUCUUCUUACCCUACAUGAAUUGGUGAACUGAGGGACCAAACCAUGGGGUGUCCAGCAUCAUGCUGAGGAUAACGAGUUAAUCCACAAAUACCGAUGGACUGAUGGAGAGUGUGAACUCUUCCUCCAUAACGGAGUACUGAAUUCCAGCAUUGCCAAACAUGCAUGACUUUCUCCAUUUGGGUCAAAUAAGGAGAGGUAUGCACCUCUUCUUUCUGCUCUUCUCCUUCCUUUUGCUCUUUUUCUUUUUGGUUUCUUUCUUUUAGUGGGCAAAGAUAGACCUUUCGUUAUUGAAGCCAGUUCAAGCUCUGUCUCUUACUUUAUCUGUUUAACCAAGUUAAGGGUCUCUCUUUAUAUCUGAAUGAGCAGGAAUUCAGCUUCCAAAACUGAAAUCUGAACUUGUUGUUAUUCUGGAGCAGCUUCUCUGGAUUCAAGGCUGUUGCUAAAACUGUGUGGAACCAGUUUAACAAAACAAGCUGAAGGACCAAAGUCAUUGCUUUACUUCCACCACCUGUGACAGGUAGGAUGGUUUUCUUGUAAUCACGCACAAAUCUUCCUUUGUUCCACCUCGUCUUUGGAAAGACACUUUUACUUUCAAAAGAACUUUUCACUGCCGAAGCUCACAGGCAACCUUGAUGUGAACUGCGCUUUCCUCAGCAGAAUUGCACAGGGCUUACCUGUUAAAGUUCCAACACUGAAAGGAAACUGAGGUAACCAUGUGGAUUUUCCAAUGGAGGGAGCCUCUUUCCAGGUAGAUUCCAAAGACCUGGAAGUCUGAGUCACACAAUCCCAGAGAAAAGAUGGUCAUUGUCUCAGGACCUCGGAAUAACAGUUAUAGUUGAUCUUUUUCCUGUGCCGGUGGGAUAGCUUCACCUUCCUGGAGCUCAGCCUGUGGCUACUGAAAGGUCUAUGGGUAAAUUUUUAGUAGUCUUUCCAAUUUCUCUUUUGUACUGGUCACAGUAAUUAAUGCUAGCUGCUGUAACAAAUAGUCUCCAAAUUCCAGUGACUUCAUACAAGUUCAUUUCUCCUUCACGCCAAGUCUGCUGAGAGCUGGAUGGUGCCCCCGGCAGCUUUCCUCCCAGCAGGGACUCUCGGAUCACUGUGCGGCUUUGCUGUCUGAGCCAAAUGCUUCUCGUCAUGUGGACAGAGGAGAGAGGGGACAAGGAGCACCAGAUACUUGACCACUUCAACCAGAAGUGCUAUUCCAUUGGCCCAAACUAGUUAUGUGGUCAACAUAACUGCAAAGGGAUCUGGGAAAUAUGAAAAUGCAUGUGGAUAUUGGUGAGUACUAAGUCACUCUGCAAUGCCUUAAAUUCUGCAAUAAACAUCCCUCUCAACUUCUGGUGAAACUUACC
rnacentral:lncRNA from 1 species